UUCUGUCUACUUAAUCUAUAUAAACUCAAUUUAUUUUAAAAUGAAUGUAAUGGAUGUAACACAUCUAAUACUAAGUUUCAACAACGGAUCUCUU
rnacentral:rRNA from 1 species